rnacentral:rRNA from 1 species
GACCUGACUGCUAUCGGAUUGAUACUAAGCCAUGCGAGUCUUUGUAGUAAUACAAGGCGGACGGCUCAGUAACACGUAGUCAACCUACCCUAUGGACGAGAAUAAUCUCGGGAAACUGAGCAUAAUUCUCGAUAGAUCAUAAUGCCUGGAAUGGUUUAUGGUUAAAAUGAUUCGUCGCCAUAGGAUGGGACUGCGGCCUAUCAGCUUGUUGGUGAGGUAAUGGCCCACCAAGGCGAUUACAGGUACGGGCUCUGAGAGGAGAAGCCCGGAGAUGGGUACUGAGACACGGACCCAGGCCCUAUGGGGCGCAGCAGGCGAGAAAACUUUGCAAUGUGCGAAAGCAUGACAAGGUUAAUCCGAGUGAUUUCUGCUAAAGAAAUCUUUUGCCAGUCGUAAAACCACUGGCGAAUAAGGGGUGGGCAAGUUCUGGUGUCAGCCGCCGCGGUAAAACCAGCACCUCAAGUGGUCAGGAUGAUUAUUGGGCCUAAAGCAUCCGUAGCCGGCUUUGUAAGUUUUCGGUUAAAUCCAUGUGCUCAACGCAUGGGCCGCCGAAAAUACUGCAUGGCUAGGGAGUGGGAGAGGUAGACGGUACUCAGUAGGAAGGGGUAAAAUCCUUUGAUCUAUUGAUGACCACCUGUGGCGAAGGCGGUCUACCAGAACACGUUCGACGGUGAGGGAUGAAAGCUGGGGGAGCAAACCGGAUUAGAUACCCGGGUAGUCCCAGCUGUAAACGAUGCAGACUCGAUGAUGCAUUGGCAUAUAGCCAGUGCAGUGUCGCAGGGAAGCCGUUAAGUCUGCCGCCUGGGAAGUACGUACGCAAGUAUGAAACUUAAAGGAAUUGGCGGGGGAGCACCACAAGGGGUGAAGCCUGCGGUUCAAUUGGAGUCAACGC